UGUAUUUCCAUUUAUCUUCUGAACAAGGUACAUCACAGUGGAAAUUGAAUGUGGAUGUUUUAGGCUCAUUAGCUAUUUUUCCUCAGCUAUAACUAUUGCCUAUAUUAGAUGUCAGUUAAUCUUGACAAAUGGGAAACAAAGUACCUUUUAUUUUGAUAACUGAGAUAUGUUUAUGCCUCAACAGGGGAGUCUUUAAUAAGCUGGAUUCUGAGGGACUUUACUUCUUUUGUAUACCUCCCACCCAGCUGGAUACCCAUGUGUUGGGUGCACUGCAAAGAAGAGGAGGGAUAAUGACAGUGGCCAGUGUUUCUCCCACAGGGUCUGCUUCCUGGAGAACCCAAACUGUGGUGAAUACCUAA
rnacentral:lncRNA from 1 species